CCUACGGGAGGCAGCAGUGAGGAAUAUUGGUCAAUGGGCGGGAGCCUGAACCAGCCAAGCCGCGUGAGGGAAGAAGGUACAGCGUAUCGUAAACCUCUUUUGUCAGGGAACAAAGGCGGGGACUAGUCCCCGGAUGAGUGUACCUGAAGCAAAAGCAUCGGCUAACUCCGUGCCAGCAGCCGCGGUAAUACGGAGAAUGCGAGCGUUCUCCGGAUUUAUUGGGUUUAAAGGGUGCGCAGGCGGCCUGUUAAGUCAGCGGGAAAAGCCCGGGGCUCAACCCCGGCGAGCCGUUGAAACUGGCGGGCUGGAGUUGGAGAGAAGUACGCGGAAUGCGCGGUGUAGCGGUGAAAUGCUUAGAUAUCGCGCAGAACCCCGAUUGCGAAGGCAGCGUACCGGCUCCACACUGACGCUGAGGCACGAAAGCGUGGGUAUCGAACAGGAUUAGAUACCCGAGUAGUC
rnacentral:rRNA from 1 species